UAACGUACAGGCAAACCAAAUGGGUCACUCAGACCCUUUAUCUCCCAAAACGUUCAAUAACUUACCUUAAUUCCCCAUCCGUUACAUUGCAGUUCAUCUUCUAAAACAUCAGUACGUUUUCUUUUCAUUUUGGCAAGCAAGGAAGUGCAGAGAGUUAACUUGAGAGGGUGAAGAGAGAUCUCAGAUGGCUUAAGCAAGAGAGAAUCAACCAAACACUAAAUCAAAACCUCCAUGGCCAUCUCACUUCAUCUUCUUCAUUAAAUCUUCAUAUAUUCUAGAGAGAGAAGGAAGUGGGCGGAAGGAUGAAGCCUUGAUAAGGCUAUGGGAGGAUUCAAAGGAAGAAUUAAAAUCAAAUCAAGCAAACAAUACAAUUCAAGAGGUAAUUCUGUUUCCUGAAAAAAUUCUAUCAGUAAAUUAGGAAUUGAUUGAAAUUGUUACUAUAAUUGUUGAAAAUGGUUUCUAUAUGAAAUCUGAAGCUUAGACUCCUAUGAAAAGCAAUAAAAAUCUGAGUUCUAUAGUUGUGUCCACCAUUUGUUUGGUAAAAUGUCUAUGUGGGACUGUUUUCCAAAAAGCAAUGGAAUUUAAAAGAAAUUAAUGAAUAAGAAAUAUGUCUAGUGAUAAGAAAUAAAGAAAAAGUCUGUUUUUAAGUACUUGAACUUAGAAGAUGGUAGCUAAGAAGUAUUAUGAAUAAUUUGGUGAAGUAAUUUUUGGGCUCUGCAGUAGAUAAACCAAAUCAGAGCUGAUGCCAAAGUGGCGCGGCCGCGCCACUUCCAAGGCCAAAGACCAGCGCGGCCGCAUCGGUUUGCAGUUGUCCCAAGAUA
rnacentral:lncRNA from 1 species